rnacentral:tRNA from 1 species
GGUCGUGUGGCGCAAUGGUAGCGCGUUACUUUCCGGUUUUAGACACACAUAAGUGUGUUCUUAGGCUGGUAAAGGUUCUGGGUUCGAGUCCCAGCAUGAUCG